CAAAUGAAGAGUUUGAUCCUGGCUCAGGAUAAACGCUGGCGGCGUGCCUAAUACAUGCAAGUCGAUCGAUUAAAGCCUAGCUUGCUAGGUGGAGAUAGAGGCGAACGGGUGAGUAAUACAUAAGUAACCUGCCUGCAAAGACCGGGAUAACGCUUGGAAACGAGCACUAAAACCGGAUAGGUAACGAGAGGACAUCCUCUUGUUAUUAAAGGUUCAAAACACGAGCAGAUGGGCUUAUGGUGCAUUAGUUAGUUGGUGAGGUAAUGGCCCACCAAGACGAUGAUGCAUAGCCGGCCUGAGAGGGUGAACGGCCACAUUGGGACUGAGACACGGCCCAGACUCCUACGGGAGGCAGCAGUAGGGAAUUUUCGGCAAUGGG
rnacentral:rRNA from 1 species